rnacentral:rRNA from 1 species
CACGAGGGGAACGCGAAGAACCUUACCAAGGCUUGACAUGGAUUUCUAAGCACGUGAAAGCGUGUGACCCUUCGGGGGACUUCCACAGGUGCUGCAUGGCCGUCGUCAGCUCGUGUCGUGAGAUGUUGGGUUGAGUCCCGUAACGAGCGCAACCCUUGUGACUAGUUGCCAGCACGUAAUGGCGGGAACUCUAGUCAGACUGCCCAGAUCAACUGGGAGGAAGGUGGGGACGACGUCAGGCCAGUAUGGCCCUUACGCCUUGGGCUGCACACGUACUACAAUGCCCAGCACAAUGAGAACCGAUGCCGCGAGGUGGAGGAAAUCUGUAAAACUGGGCUCAGUUCGGAUUGGAGGCUGCAACUCGCCUCCAUGAAGUUGGAAUCGCUAGUAAUGCCGUAUCAGCUACGACGGCGUGAAUACGUUCCCGGGUCUUGUACACACGC